rnacentral:rRNA from 1 species
UACGAAGGGGGCUAGCGUUGUUCGGAAUUACUGGGCGUAAAGCGCGUGUAGGCGGUUGCCCAAGUCGGGUGUGAAAGCCUUGAGCUCAACUCAAGAAAUGCACUCGGUACUGGGUGACUAGAGGACCGGAGAGGAUAGUGGAAUUCCCAGUGUAGUGGUGAAAUACGUAGAGAUUGGGAAGAACACCAGUGGCGAAGGCGGCUAUCUGGACGGUUCCUGACACUGAGGCACGAAGGCCAGGGGAGCAAACGGG